GUUCAUACCGACAUGGCGUCGGUGCAUCUCUACAACGCCGGCUCGCAGGCCUUGAAGGACCACUUCAUGCCGGAUGUCAUUGCAGGGAAGAAGAUCGUCGCUGUCGGCGUCACCGAACCUGGCGCGGGCUNNNNNNNNNCGUGAAAGGCAUUCGCACCACCGCGCGCCGCGAGGGCGACGGCUAUGUGCUCAAUGGCACC
rnacentral:misc_RNA from 1 species